AGUCGACGAGAGAUACAGGAGGAAGUUUUCGGAUGGAAUCCAGUAGAUCGACUGUCGGACGGGUGAGUAACGCGUGGGGAACCUGCCUCAUACAGGGGGAUAACAGUUGGAAACGACUGUUAAUACCGCAUAAGACCACAGAGUCGCAUGACUCAGGGGUAAAAACUCCGGUGGUAUGAGAUGGACCCGCGUUCGAUUAGCCAGUUGGCGGGGUAACGGCCCACCAAAGCGACGAUCGAUAGCCGAUUUGAGAGAAUGACCGGCCACAUUGGGACUGAGACACGGCCCAAACUCCUACGGGAGGCAGCAGUGGGGAAUAUUGCACAAUGGGGGGAACCCUGAUGCAGCGACGCCGCGUGAGUGAAGAAGUAUUUCGGUAUGUAAAGCUCUAUCAGCAGGGAAGAAGAUGACGGUACCUGAGUAAGAAGCCCCGGCUAACUACGUGCCAGCAGCCGCGGUAAUACGUAGGGGGCAAGCGUUAUCCGGAUUUACUGGGUGUAAAGGGAGCGCAGACGGCUAUGCAAGUCUGAAGUGAAAGCCCGGGGCUCAACCCCGGGAUUGCUUUGGAAACUGUGUAGCUAGAGUGUCGGAGAGGUAAGCAGAAUUCCCAGUGUAGCGGUGAAAUGCGUAGAUAUUGGGAAGAAUACCGGUGGCGAAGGCG
rnacentral:rRNA from 1 species